rfam:Schistosoma mansoni, Puerto Rico, WGS project CABG01000000 data, contig: 0115
AUCCAGCUGACGAGUUCCAAAUAGGACUAAACGCGCGUCCUGGAU